UACGUAGGGUGCGAGCGUUAAUCGGAAUUACUGGGCGUAAAGGGUGCGCAGGCGGUCUCGUAAGCUGGGUGUGAAAGCCCCGGGCUUAACCUGGGAAUGGCAUUCAGGACUGCGAGGCUUUGAGUGCGGCAGAGGGAGGUGGAAUUCCACGUGUAGCAGUGAAAUGCGUAGAGAUGUGGAGGAACACCGAUGGCGAAGGCAGCCUCCUGGGCCAGCACUGACGCUCAUGCACGAAAGCGUGGGGAGCAAACGGG
rnacentral:rRNA from 1 species